rnacentral:rRNA from 1 species
AAAAUUUUAUUUCUAAGUAAAAAUCAUUUAUUAUAUUACUUAGAAUUUAUAUUUAGGUCACUACUUGUAUACUAUAUAAAUAUGGUUCAAGAAUAUUAACUU